UACGUAGGGUGCAAGCGUUGUCCGGAAUUAUUGGGCGUAAAGAGCUCGUAGGCGGUUUGUCGCGUCUGCUGUGAAAACGCGAGGCUCAACCUCGCGCCUGCAGUGGGUACGGGCAGACUAGAGUGCGGUAGGGGAGAUUGGAAUUCCUGGUGUAGCGGUGGAAUGCGCAGAUAUCAGGAGGAACACCGAGUGGCGAAGGCAGAUCUCUGGGCCGUAACUGACGCUGAGGAGCGAAAGCCGUGGGGAGCGAACAGG
rnacentral:rRNA from 1 species